UUACUUACCUUUCGUGGGGUUAACCGUGAUCAUGAAGGCGGUUCCCCAGGGUGAGGCGUUCCCAUUGCACUUAGGGUUCUGCUGACCUCUGUGACUAUCCCUAAUGUGGAUACGUCGGGCGAAUAAUUUUUGUUAGUAGGGGGGACUGCGUACUGCGCUAUCCCCCU
rnacentral:snRNA from 1 species